GAAAGUUACUCGGUACAUCGGUGACAGGUGGUGCAUGGUUGUCGUCAGCUCGUGUCGUGAGAUGUGGUUAAGUCCCGCAACGAGCGCAACCCCUAUUGUUAGUUGCCACCAUUCAGUUGGGCACUCUAAGGAGACUGCCGGUGUUAAACCGGAGGAAGGUGGGGAUGACGUCAAGUCCUCAUGGCCCUUAUAUCCAGGGCUACACACGUGCUACAAUGGCCGGUACAAAGGGUCGCAAUACCGCAAGGUGGAGCUAAUCCCAAAAAGCCGGUCUCAGUUCGGAUUGGAGUCUGCAACUCGACUCCAUGAAGUCGGAAUCGCUAGUAAUCGCGUAUCAGCAUGACGCGGUGAAUACGUUCCCGGGCCUU
rnacentral:rRNA from 1 species